rnacentral:rRNA from 1 species
AGCGUUGCUCGGAAUCACUGGGCGUAAAGAGCACGUAGGCGGACUCUUAAGUCGGUGGUGAAAUCCUGGAGCUCAACUCCAGAACUGCCUUCGAUACUGGGAGUCUCGAGUCCGAGAGAGGUGAGUGGAACUGCGAGUGUAGAGGUGAAAUUCGUAGAUAUUCGCAAGAACACCAGUGGCGAAGGCGGCUCACUGGCUCGGUACUGACGCUGAGGUGCGAAAGCGUGGGGAGCAAACAGG